AGGCAUAUUUACGACGAGGCAGUGAGCUGCGCUUGAUUCAAUGGGAUCUGUGCCCAGGCUGGGUGGGAACCACGCGCAGAAUCGUGGCCCGACGGGAAUCCUCCUCAUCGUCGGCUCAUACUGCAAAGAUGAGGAGCCAGCGAGGAUCCGUGAGGCCGACUGUCGGCUGAGGCGGCGCAUGCCUGAGGGAUCCGCGCUAGGGGGAGCCCGGAGCUUACUUGCGGAAAACAGAGCAGCGCCUGGAAGUCAGCCAGCCAGCCAGCCAGCCAGCUGCUGGGCGGUGGAGGCGCCCGACGACUACGAGGAGGAGGACAGCGAUGGCGAGCCCCGCGGGAAAGCGGAGGCGGCCGGAGGCCAAGAAGGCGUGGAAGAGGAGCGGGAGGCUCGGCGGCGGCGCGCCCUCUGCCUGGCCCCUGAGGCGGGGGAGGAGGUGCAAAAAGUGGAACAAAGUAUAGAAGAGAUGUUAACAAGACUGGAUGAGUUCUGUAGCAUAACUGAUAUGAUUAGAAGUGACACUUCUCAACUAUUGGAUGAAGUAAUUCCACUCAUUAAAGUCAAGGUGCUGGAAAUGCAUAACAUCUAUACAAAAGUAGAUAAACUAGAGGCAUUUGUGAAAAUGGCUGGACACCAUAUUUCUUUCUUAGAAGAUCAAGUGCUCCAAGCAGAGAAGGCUCAUGCCAUCAUUCCCUGCACUGUCCAGAAAGUGCUUGGAUCUCUAGCUAUUCAUUCAUUUAAAAACAGAAUCUGCUGUCUGUUGGUUGUACUCUGUGGUAAAGAUCACAAAUUGAUCUGUAGUGGAUGGUUCUGCUUUGCUCCAUGACGUUGGUCUGGGAUGUCUUUUGGUCUUAAUGCCAGUAUGGUAAGCAAAGACUCUUUGACAAGCUUGAGGACUAGAAUAUUACAAGCCACCCCAAAAAAUAAAAUCCUAGCCAUAGCCUACAGUCUGCUGUCAGAACAUAUGAAGAGCCCUCGGUCAGGCCGGAUCCAUCUAGCUCAGCAAAAGAGCUUCUGGGAUCAUGCUGUAUCCUGAACUUCAUAAUUGUAGGGUGUGGAACUAGACAAAGGGAAAGGCUAUUCAGUAAAAACAAAAGAAAUAAAUGCUGUUACUUGUGCAGUCUGAGCUAUGUCAGCCCCUGGAUACCAAGAACACUUUCUAUUGUAGCACAACCGUGCUCUUAGGAAACAGAGAAUUUGUUAAUCGGCCAAUUACACUUAUUCCUGCCACCCCCCUUUUUCUUUCAUGGGGUUAAGGCAGGCACUGACCAGACCCAGAUAUGCUCAGUGUGCCCUCAGACCAUACCCCACCUAGAGCCCGUACAUACUAUGUGACUUAAGAUCACUCAUUCCAGGGUGUGCUGUAUUAUAGCAACUGAAAUUAAUUGUUGAACUCCAGAAUUUAGAAGUUGCACCUGUGCUACAGGUUCAGAUUAAUCACAGUACAACCAAAGUCAAGCAAUCUUGGCACAAAAGAACUGGAUUGAAAGUGUGGCAGUCCAGGCUUUUGCCUUUAUCAGUCAGGUUAACAGUAGGCCUGCAUAGCUUCAGAACUAUGUUAGGCCUCACACAAACAUGAAUAUGCAGUGAUGGGUGGGAAGGGGAAGAAAUAGUUUUAACAGUAGAAAAAGAGCAGAGACAAGACAGAGAACAACAUAAAGGAAAAAAAAGUGGCUUGAGCCCAGAGAUAUACCUGGCAUAGAUCUGUUGAGCGAAGUCUCUAUAGUCAUUGGGGUGAAGUUGGAUAAGGGAGUGAAAUUAGAUAACAGGGGAAAUUGAGCAUAGCCGUCCCCAGGAGAGACAUUCAGAACUAUACAGGGAUCUGUUAGUCCAGCUUUCUGUACUUCUGCUCUAAAACUCACUUUGGUAAUAGGAAAAUAUAUAUUGUGGUAUAUGGAGGAUAAAGUAUGUGAAUGAUUUUAGGAGGUACUAACUACUUCUAGAAUGGCCCGUAAUGUUUCUGACCAAACUAACUGGGCUUACUUUAAUAGGGGUUUUCUAGGAAAUCUCUGGGUAGUGGAUUCAGACUAAAUAUUUGAUGGGGGAAAGCUGUUUACAGCAAUGCUAAUGCCUUUGCAUGCCUGUUCAGCUGUUUGGCGCAAGUUAUUCCUUCUUGGCUCCUUAGAGAGUGGCAUCUUUGGAAUCCUGCUACUUGAUGCUAUACAUUUUAAUUUACAUUAAAGACUGGAAUCUAUAACUGCCAUGAAUGAAAAGCUAUACAUGCUGUUGCUCAAACAGUUCCUAGUUUCUAAACCUUGACUUGAGCUUGGAAAUGAGGGAGCUUGAAAUAGGUUGGAGCCUCCUCCCCCAGAUCCUGUUGAUCACAUCUGAGCAGUACCCAGCAGCAAAGGGAAACAAGCACUUUUCUCUCCAUUCUCCUUGUUGUGCUUCUUUCCUCUCUCCCUCAACUGUACCCCUGCCAGUGUUUAACGUAUCCCCAGGGAUGCAGGUACCACAGGCUGAGAAACUAUGCUCUAGUUCUCAGUUUAAACACUGUAUAACCGACACAUAGUAAAAACCAGGAUUGCAAGCUUAAAGUAAUACAUUUAACAAAAGCUUUACUUGUACAAUAAAAUAAAAUCCACAAAUUAACCAGUGGGGCUGCCAAAGCAAAGAUGGAUGAAUACGAGAUUUGGAAAGGACCUGCUACAAUGCAGACUACUCAUAGGUGCUUCCUCCUCACUCACUGAGCCAAAGCAAAAAUGCACCCCAACACCACAGCACACUUAUAACCUGCCAGAACUCUACAGAACCGAAGACUGUUUUCGUAUCAAGUACACACGUAGCAAAUAUCAAAGCCACUAGUUGAGUAUUUAAGUCAUCUUGAGCAUUUUAGAAAAAUUUGUUUCAAGCAACUAUAUAAAUGAGUUUAACAUGUGUAUUAGACCAAAGGAGGAAAGAGUGGCAGCAUCUCUGCCAUGUAUUGACUUUGAAUUCUGCCAUUUAGCAGAAACUAAACAUGGAACAUGUCAUGAAAACAUGUUUAGAUUUUAUUUUUGAACUAUUGCUGAUCUCCAUGCUAUCCAUUAGGAAAAAAUAAACUUGCUGUAGCUUUGCUUUGUGUUUCCAUUUGAGUUUUGAGACAUAUUUAUGUAAACAAAAGAUUAGGAAAUGGUACAUUUAAGAUGUCAAUAUUUCAUCGAAGUACUGCAGUGAUUGCACUGAAGCAGCUGUUUUCUACUCUAGAUAUAACUGCUUCAAUCUAUCAUGUAUACCAGGGAAGCUUCAGGACAGAAAUCCUAUUUUGUAAGUAGCCUAAAAAGUGGUACAAUCUUGGAAUUCAACAGAAAAAGCAGAAGCCACUCAAGUUUCUCUCUCCUUCAUCCUAGUAAUAUAAGCUUAGAUAUGCAAAGCUCUUGUGUAAUGUAACUUGAAAGGUACAAAUAAAAUUCUGGAAAAUAA